rnacentral:lncRNA from 1 species
GAGGGGCGAUGAUGAUGCCUGUGGCUGAAAUAAUUAUGUAUUGAGCAAUCAAGACAGCCAUAAUAGGGGCCCCAAAUGGGUGCUGGCGUUGGAGAUGCCCGUAAGAGCUCACCCUUCUCUUGCAGCCUGUUCAAUUCAUGGCUAAUGUUGGAUGUUCUGCGCCUUGGAUGGUCAUUCUGAUGAGUGAUAACCAGGGCAGUUCAAUUACAUCGCGAUGGGUAGGUUAUGCAGCAAGAGACGUGUGUUGGGCUUCAAGAUGAAAGGCAAAACUGAGCCCUCUUGCUACGCUACAAAUACUCAGUUUUUCCUUCUCCACUGUACAUUGUUUUAAUUUUCUAUUCCUCUCUAUUGUGUUGAUGUGAGAUCCGGAUCUGGAUUGAUAUCUUCUCUUGGUGAUGAACCCAACCACCCUAGCUUUACUUGGGUUGGUUUCUAGUUGGCAUCGUUUUUGCCUUUCUAAUUGUACAUACUAUAUAUGUGUCAAACGGUUGCCCUUUUUUCCUCCAAUGCUUGUAGCUAUUGGCAGUUCUAUUCAACUAGUUAACGAGAAGCUAUUUUCUUGCUUAUCUUGUCCUUCCAGAUGCUUCUUCAAAGACAAAGUUUUGAUCUGUUAUGUCUCUGUUUUCUAUAAACUGAAGCUCAGAUUACCUUCGUAUUUGUUUUGGUCAGAACAGACAUUUUUUUAUGAUUCUCUAUGCUAUUUAAUUCAGUGGUAAUUAUUCUAUUCUUUAGCUGCUGCUGUCAAUAUUAACUGCCACAUUUCUGAUGCAUUAGCAUGGUGCAGAUCCCUUGCACGGAUUCUAAAUGAGUGUCAAGUAAAUUUGUCAACUGCAAAAGUGUAUUUGUUAAAAAGGCUUAUAUAUUUUGUCUUAUCAUAACUGAAUGUCCUCCUGGAGCUUUUGCUUGGGUCAUUUGGGAUUUAUAUGUUGGCGGUUGGCCCCCUUCUCAUGUUGGAAUAGUAUUGCCACUAUUCAAUGUUACAUGUCUGACUAUUUAGCAUUAGAACCCCAUUUUUCAUCGGAUAAACGGGCAAGCUGCAUUUCCUGUUUUCUGUUUGUAUUAUACGCAUCCCUUUUUGCAAACUUAUGCUUUUCUUCUGUUUCAAAAUGGAAAGUUUAUGUCAUCCUGUUUUUAUUAGGCUUGUAGUUACUCCUUUUAUCUGAAGUGAACAAUUUGGAAGGUUUAUGUUACCCUGUUCUUAUUUGGCUUGCAGUGACUCUUUUUUUCUGAAGUGAGCAAAUGUAAAUUGCUUCUUUUUGCCAGUAAUACGGCCAUCAGUGCAGUGUUCCAAAUUAACUUCUGAACACAGCAUAUUUGUUUCUGUUGUGUGUUGAUGAGUAUUAUUCUUUUCUGAAUGGCUAUGAUGAUUUCCGCCCCUUGGUGUUGGAGAUCUUUCAAUGUAUCCUGCGAUAGAGAUGCUUUCACGUCUCCUAGGUUGGUUCCAUUCAACUUUGCCCAGUUAGACAGUUGGUCGUUAAACUAGGAGGCCUUGCUCUGCACUAAGUUACUAGUUGUGGUAAUUUGUUGCUGGACAGAGGGAGGGAGAGGGAGAGAGAUAUUUUAUUUGUUUAUGGUACCACUUCAUUCAUUCAAAUAGUACUCCCCAAAAACUUUCCCAGGAUUUUGUACCACCUGAAGCAUUUCCCAACUUUGGUGAUUCAUGGCGGGUUAAAUCUGAGCCAUUCAUUCAAAUAGUACUCCCCAAAAUUUCUCAGGAUUUUGUGAACUAUUCCUCAUGUGUUCUAAUCGCCCUCCAGCUGCUGAUACUGUGCUUAGCUGCAGAUGUUUUGUAUCUGAUCCAACCUACUUUUCACCCUUAACUGUUGCAUGCGCAAAGGGAUCUAUCCAUCUCUUUAUCAGGGGCAAUGAUGAUCAAACUUGGCUGACAAUAAACCUGUCUUCGAUUAUUCGAGGAGCCAUGGGUAUAAAAAACACGCUCUCCACUCUUUUGUGACCUUUCAUUCUGACCGAAUAUUGAUGGCUCUGUUGAGUGAUAACCAGCAGAGCUUGACUUCAGUGGCGGGGGUUGAUCUGGUGAAUGAAGAGGGUGGGGCUAGGUUGUAUGAUCUAUCAAAGGCGAAUAUGAGCCCUCUCAGUUCAACUAAUACUGUUCCCUGCUAUACAGUAUGGUUUACACAUUUAUUUAUUCCUAUCGCCUUUUUAUGAGUAGAGUGAUAAAUUGUCAUGGUUGUGGCAUUGGCCCAUCUCACUAAGAUUGGCUAACGCACAGGUCACCUCUUGUGGUGUUUGGUUUGUCUUCUCAUGAUUUUGUCGAGGGAACCAGUUUGGUGCAUUCGGGCUUUGCUCAAGCUCGUCUCACUGUGGUGGUCCUAGUACUAGUAGUGGUUGAAUGUGUUUACUCCCUUUUCAUGGGGUUAAAUAUGUGAAACAUGAUCUGUGCAUGUCCUCCUUUACUACCAACAACAACAACAACAACAACAAAGCAUUUAGUCCCAAACAAGUGGGGUAGGCUAGAGCUGAAACACAAUCUCGCAACCAACUCAUGGUUCUGGCACAUGGAUAGCUAGCUUCCAUGCACCCCUGUCCAUGGCUAGUUCUCUGGCGAUAUUCCAUGUCCCCCUGUACUACCCCACCCCUGUCCUGUCCAUGGCUAGUUCUUUGGUCAUUUUCCAUGUUCUUUACUACCCAUAUUAAAUUUUAGGUAGUUCUUUUGGUAGUGAUGUACAUUCAAGUUGGCAAGUUGUCAACUUCUUUUCUACUGUUUUGGUCCAGCACUGCAACUGCUAACGGCCCUCAAGGAAUAAUAUUUGAACGGUUUGCUUUCUGCUGAUGACCAAUUGACCAUUUUAAUGCUUAUGGAAGCCAAUACGUGAAAAAACACAAUGUUGUCGUAAGCCUGUAUCUACCUUUUAUAAUCUCUUGUUGCAAAAAUACCAUGACUACCUUUUAUAAAUUGGCCAACUCUGAGACUCCCGCCCAAUAAAGUUCUGAGUAAAAUGAGUGUUUCCUUCCCAAAAUUUGAACUGAUCUUUUCCUUUUUGAGAAUUUGUAUUUCUUGCUUGCUCGCAUCCAUGUAUACAUAAAAGAUAUGUUGAGAGUUCGGUUAUGAUAUUAGUUCUUUCGGUAAAAUCAUGGUCUGGUGGAUGCAAAGGACUGUUUUGCAAGUUUAUAUUUUCGCUUUUUUUGUACACAUUUUGUUGGUUUUGCAGUAUGUCAACCAGUUCUGUUGUUUUAGGAACAGUACUCCAGCCACACUUAAUUCUUGUCUUCUGUUUUGUUUUUCCUUUUCUGUUCUUCCUUUUUCUUGAAUGGCUAUGAUAAUUCUGAUGUCCCUUGGAUGGUUUUUGAAACUAUCUUAUUUGCUUAUUUCAAUUGCUAUUUGACUUGAUAAUUUCAUUCUUCUAUUGUACUCUUUAUCUACUUAUCAGUUUGUACUUUUGGUUUCUCUUUACUUCUUUACUGGUUUCAACUUAAGGGUCGUAUAGGGCAAGUUCAGCUGUCAAGAUUACUGUUUUCUUCGUGUCAUGUUCAUGAAUGGCUGUGAUGAUAUAACCUCCCUGUGAGGGCUUCUAUCUAACACCUUAAUUGAUUUACUUGGUGCUAAACUAGGAUGGCUUGUGUCACAGCAAGUAACCAGUUUAGUGACCAACUAUUAUUCCCUAAAGGGCAGCCUGGUGCACGGAGCUCCUGCUUGCGCAGGGUCCGGGGAAGGGUCCGAUCGCUUUGGGUCUAUAGUACUCAGCCUUUCCCUACAUUUCUGCAAGAGGCUGUUUCCAGGACUCGAACCCAUGACCUCAAGGUUACAAGGCUACAGCUUUACCGCUGCGCCAAGGCUCCCCUUCUUAACUGUUAUUCCCUCCGUUCACAAAUAUAAAUGUUCAUAGUCAUUCUACCAGAAAUUCAGUUAUAGUGUUGAGAUGGGAGUGUAUCUGAGCCAUUUACUUAUACAUGUCCCAGUUUUUGUGUCCACCAGUUCAUGAUUUGCUCCUGAUAUAGUGAUUAUUUCUGCUUUUACCGAUUCUCAUGUUGUUUCUGGUCAUCUUGCGCUCUUUGACUAUUGGCUUCUCUGUUAUUCUCUUUGUGGGAUUUGCGCCUAAGUGCUGUUGAUGGCGAUGAUGAGUAAGGCUCAGUCAGAGGUGUAUCGAGAUCAGAUACCAUCACUUGUUUUUAUGGGUAUGGUUUUGGGUUAGGGUUUUGUGUGACUAGGUGGAAGCGUGCAAAUCGGGACGGCUUGCUUUCUGUGAGCAACCAUUUGAAUGCUGAAAUGUCACACAGGGGUGUAAGGGCAUCUGCAGCACGGAUCACCAAGUGUAUUGGAUACCGAGUGGGUUUUUGAAUAAAUACUGUUUCUACAUUUUGUUGUUAUGUAUAUUUUUAAAUAUUAUUGGUUUGAUUAUUCUCAAUCUAUCAAUGGUUUAUAGCAGUAUUGGGAUCUCACUGUAAUAUAUGUUAUAAUCUACGGCACUUACAAGAUAUGCUCAUAGCAAACUGGAUUUUGUGCUAUUUUACACUUGCAUACUCAGAAUGCUUUAAUUUGCUAGUGCAUCAAGAGGUUCUGCUUUAUUCGAAUAGAAAGCAAUCCAGUGUGCUGAGAGGGCCCUGGGAAGCGGCAGAGGGCUUCACAUCUUUUGUUCAAACUAUGUUAUUAUUUGCAGCUGUGAGUCCUCUGUUAGUUGCAUGUUGUGUUUCUAUGCUCAGCGUUCCCGUUUAUUCGUUCCUGCAUUUUAUUUGAACUUAAGUGUACUCUACAUCUUUGAUCUCCCAUGUAGUUAAUUCCUUAGCUUUCUAGGUGAGUUCUGAUGAUGCGCUCUCAUGUAUUCUGGUGAGGUAAUAACAAGUGCCUUGGAGCAGCAAUAAAGCUUUUUUUCUUUAUAUGGCCGCCCUUCUCUGUACUGAUGCCUGUUCAAGUCAUCAUAUGUACAAGUGUUGGUGGUGCUGUAAUUCAUAUGAUCAAUUUGGAAAUUGUCACAUUUGGAUGCAACAGAGUGUCAGUGCAUAUGAGCAUUGAGAUGGCUAGAAGAGUAAUUGCCAUGCCAGUGGCUUGGAAUGUAAUUUUGAUAGCUAAUGUCAGUGGAUUGGCUUUAUGCAUUAACCCUCAAUGUAACUCCCAAGUUAUCAUCGUCAACAUCUUCAGAGAGGGUGGUCCGCUCCAGUCUGAUCCAGAGGUCCCAGUAAAUAUCACAUAACUAUUUGUACAAUACACAUUUACAGAGUUUCCUGCUAUGGUCAUGAUAUGGGCUGUUGACUUACAAUCCAACAACCAUGUUAGAGCAACUCCAAUGCGGUGACCCAAAUGUACACGCGUUUGGGUCGGCCGAGCGGAUGGGUGCGUUCACUUUUUUAUUUGGGUUGGGUGGUGCGCUCAACGGGUGGGAGACCCAAACCUGCGAGCGGCAUUAAAAAAAAACUUAGUAGAUAUGCGGCCAAAACAGUAAACUUGUCGCCCAAAGUUCACUUAAACAUUAAUGGGCGCGUCUACUGGGCGGCCGGCUGCCCAGUAGAGCGAUCCAGCGGCCAGUCAAAUAAGGUAAGUAUCUGUCCCUUUCAUUGUCAGAAAAAGAAAACAAAGGAAACAGCCACCUGUCCUACCGUUUGGGCAGCCGUUGCAUGCAUGCGUCUAGUGUUUGCAUGCCGAUGCAUUAAUGUUCCUCACGUUCGUUUCUUGUGCAUUAAUUUUUGAUUUUCAAAAUUAUAAAAGACAUAUCUUCUAAACCGCGUGUUGAAAUUCAGAUCCGUUUUCACCGUUGAAACCCUCGCGACGUGCUCUUCAAAAGUAGAUCCCGCAUGGCGAUGUUUCCACGAACUAGUCUUCCUGCCAAUUAAACAUCAAUAUGUGUGCAACUAGACUACAUGCUGCGCCAACUGAGCAUAUGUGUGUCAAUAGUCCUUCUGUCAAUUAAAUAUUAAUGUGUGUACAACUAGACUACAUUCCCGCGUCAAUUGAGCAUAUGUGUGUGUCAAUAGUCUUGCCAACUAAAUAUCAAUGUGUGUGCAACUAGAUUACAUUCCCGCGCCAACUGAGCAUAUAUGUGUGUAACUAGUCCUGUCAACUAAAUAUCAAUGUGUGUGCAACUAGACUACAUUGCCGCGUUAAUUACGCAUAUGUGUGUGCAACUAAUGUCCUGCCAACUAAACAUCAAUAUAUGUGUAAUUAGACUAAAUUACAAGCCAAUUGAGCAUAUGCAUGUGCAACUAGUCCUUCUAGCAACUAAACAUCAAUGUGUGUGCAACUAGACUACAUUAUAAGCCAACUAAACAUUAAUGUGUGUAUAAACUAGACUAAAUUACAAGCCAACUGAUUUUAAAAAAAGUUGCACGAUAUAGUACUAAAGUUGCACAAUGCAAUACUUUAGUUGCACCAUAUAGCAUCAAAAUUGGCAUCAAAAAAAUUUCGUCGAAACAUAUCCAUGCGGGAUCUAGUUUUAAAGAUCUCGUCGCGAUGAAUCUAACGAUGAAAACGGAACUGAAUUCCGACAUGUGGUUUAAAAGAUAUGACUUUAAAAGAAUUUGAAAUCCCGAAAUAAAAGUACGUGGAUCUGUUUUCUCUAACUGAUGAGACUAGUGUGAACAUAUUUAAUGCCAGCACCCACAUGCGCUACGAGACAAAAAAAUACGCAUGCAUGUGUGUGACAGACGCGGCCGCUCGAAAACACCAAAAAGCGCACGGCCACUUUUUAGAUUUUGGGAACAUUAAUAAAACUUAAAAAAAGUUUGCUCCGUUAGCACGUUGCCCUGUUGCCCAAAGUUCACUUAAACAUUAAUAAAACUUGAAAAAAGGUUUGCUCCGUCAGGACGUUGCCUUAGGCGUCGUCCUCCUCCUCCCUGAGGCCGGUGAGGUCAAUGAACAUCGGCUCCAGCCUAGCCCAUGGAAAGGUGGUAUCCCACGUCGCACGCGCUGCCUCCACCGUUUGUCCCGUUGGCUGUGGGGUUGGUGGCUGCACUGCUACUGCAUGGGCGUGCUCUUCCUCCGCCUCCCGUGCCAAGCGACGCUCCAGCUCCAAUUGUUGCUCGAUGUUGGCGUGCGCCCUCCAUUGUUGGAGGUACGCGACUUCUUGCUCUGGCAUCCCCCAAGCCACACGCGCGGCGCUGACCCACUCACGGAGCUGCCCGGUUCACUGGUAGACCUUUGGCUGGUGCUUCAUGGAAUGUGGUUUUGGUUUGGGGAGGAACGUCCUGCGAUGGCAGUAGCGAAGGGAGGAUGACACAAUCGCCGUGGCAGCCGCGGACAAUGUGAGGGCCUCCUCCAUGCCAACCCAGCGCGUGUCCUUGCGCUGGCUCUUCUUCAGGGCGCGCUGGAUGGUGGCCUCAACGGCCUAGUAGGUCGCAUGCACCUCCUCCUCCUCCGACAAGGAAGGGGGGAGGGUGCACAACAUGGUCGAUGUGGAUGCCGCGCGCGGCGCUCCUCCUCAUGCUCUAGCGCAAACCAGCGGUCCUAGUUGGGUAGUCUGGCGCAUAGGCACGCGUCGCGCACUGAUCCGACAUCAGGAGCUCGCAUCGCCGGCGAACAUCCUCGGCAUGCGCCCUCGCCGAGCACGGCACCGCCAGAACGGGGAUCCUUUGUGGGUCCAGAUGCCAACUGUGCGACAAGCUUACGUCUGGAUAUUGCAGGGGGCAACGGGACUGCCAGUGCCUGAUAGAGGCUAAGGUGUCCCGUCUUUCGAUGAGAUGAUGGAUAUCGCUUUGGUGGAAGUCGACUUUGACGAUCCGACUACGAACGUGCGAGGACGUCGCGCCUUAGCAAUCGCUAAACCAACUCCGAGAGGUUAUUGACCACGCCGGAGCACGAUCAACCUGACCACGAGGGUUUGUUUCCUGCGAGCAAACGAAGAACAAGCAAGAAACUAAGAUUGCAAUCUGGAUAUUGCGAAUAUAAGAUGAAAGCUUUAUUGAUCAAGGUGGGGUUCUUGACGCCUUUGUCUGGUCGUUGAACACAAACGAAGUACGCGAAGUUGCAGCUAUGGCGAACUUUUAAUCUAAACAAAACCCAAAGUCUAAACGAUGCCCUAAGGGCUGUAUAUAUGGAGGAAGAGGGGGGGAAUUUCGUGGCCCUUGGUGGAGGGGUCCGAAAUCAACCCUAUCUCUUGUUUCCCCACACAUACGGACUCUAAAAAUAGCCUAUACUUAUGUAUUUCGAAAUUACAUGGGCCUGGCCCAAUAAUAAGGUGACGCAGCACCUAAAAUAGCCUCGGGACGAAAUUUAUGAAGUGGCAUCUUGUAUAUUUCGUCCAAGGCUUCAUGCACCCAUUAUGGUGGCUUCAAAGUCCUGAAAUCAUCACUUGUAACCCCGUUCUUGUUUCCCUUGCGCAUGCCAUCAUCUCCAUGCUUGUUCUUGCUCCAAUGUUCAUCCUUCUCCAAGCUAGGCCCUUCAUUUGUAAGCAAAACAAAUGUAUCCAAUUUAGGCAGCAUCAUAUUCUCAUGAACAUUAGAAUCAUUACCAAGAAACGAAAGUACCUGGUAAUUUAGUUGGCGUGCACGAGCUCUAGUAAUUGGUCCAGUAUGUAUAGCAGCAGGGGCUGUGGGUGUAACAAUUGUAUUGAUGUCCUCAUCAAAUAGCCUAUACUUAUGUAUUUCGAAAUUACAUGGGCCUGGCCCAAUAAUAAGGUGACGCAGCACCUAAAAUAGCCUCGGGACGAAAUUUAUGAAGUGGCGUCUUGUAUAUUUCGUCCAAGGCUUCAUGCACCCAUUAUGGUGGCUUCAAAGUCCUGAAAUCAUCACUUGUAACUCCGUUCUUGUUUCCCUUGCGCAUGCCAUCAUCUCCAUGCUUGUUCUUGCUCCAAUGUUCAUCCUUCUCCAAGCUAGGCCCUUCAUUUGUAAGCAAAACAAAUGUAUCCAAUUUAGGCAGCAUCAUAUUCUCAUGAACAUUAGAAUCAUUACCAAGAAACGAAAGUACCUGGUAAUUUAGUUGGCGUGCACGAGCUCUAGUAAUUGGUCCAGUAUGUAUAGCAGCAGGGGCUGUGGGUGUAACAAUUGUAUUGAUGUCCUCAUCAUCUCUCACAAAACGCCUAUAGAAUCCAGCGAGGCCAAGAAAACUCCUCACUUGUGUGACCCUUUUGGGUUGCGGCCAACUCUGAAUAGCUUCAAUCUUGGCUUUAUCAACUUCAAUUCCCUGUGGAGUAACAACAUAGCCAAGAAAAGAUACUCGGUCGGUGCAAAAGGUGCACUUCCCAAGGUUACCAAACAAACGUGCAUCACGUAGAGCAAUAAAAACAGCACGUAAAUGUUCCAAAUGUUCCUCCAAAGAUCUGCUAUAAAUCAAUAUGUCAUCAAAGUAAACUACCACAAAUCGUCCAAUGAAAGCACGUAAAACUUCGUUCAUUAAUCUCAUGAAAGUACUAGGUGCAUUAGUUAACCCAAAAGGCAUGACUAACCACUCAUAUAAUCCAAACUUAGUUUUAAAUGCUGUUUUCCAUUCAUCUCCCAAUUUCAUACGAAUUUGAUGGUAGCCACUACGCAAAUCAACUUUGGAGAAUAUUGUAGAGCCACUCAAUUCAUCAAGCAUAUCAUCUAGCCUAGGAAUAGGAUGACGAUAACAAAUAGUAAUAUUAUUAAUGCCUCUACAAUCAACACACAUACGUGAUGUACCAUCCUUUUUCGGCACUAGAAUAAUAGGAACAGCACAAGGACUAAGGGAUUCGCGUAUAUAACCUUUGUCGAGAAGCUCUUGUACUUGACGCAUAAUCUCCUUCGUCUCCUCUGGAUUGGUACGGUAUGGUGCACAGUUUGGCAAUGAAGCACCGGGAAUUAAGUCAAUCUGAUGCUCAAUCCCUCGAAUAGGCGGUAAUCCCGGUGGCACGUCUUGUGGAAAAACGUCAGCGAACUCCUGCAAAAUGUUAGUGACAGCAGGAGGCAAAGAGGAAGGCACGUCCUCGAAUGAAAAUAAUGCCUCUUUGCACACAAAAGCAUAGCAAACAGAUUUGCUGAAAUCUAGCUCAUCAAUAUCAGAUUUGGUGGCAAAUAAACAUGCACUUUUCAAUUUAAUUUCAGAAGCAACACUAGAUGAUUUAUUAUUAGGCUUCAUUUGUUGCUCAAAUUCUUUUGCCACAAUCUGAUUUUCACUCUUAUUCUUCUCCUGUUGUGCUUUAUUAGCUCUAUUAAUAUCAUCUUUCAAAAUGGAAUCAGGAGUCAUAGGAAGCAAAGUAAUAUUUUUAUCCUUAUGAACAAGAGUAUAGUGAUUGUUUCUACCAUGGUGUACAGAAUUUUUAUUAAAUUGCCAUGGUCUACCAAGUAAUAAGGAACAUGCUUGCAUAGGUACCACAUCACAAUCAACAUAAUCAGCAUAUGUAGAGAUACUAAAAUGCACACGAACAGUACGUGUUACCUUAACCUUGCCGCUGUUGUUGAACCAUUGGAUGUAGUAAGGAUGUGGAUGUGGUCUUGUGGUGAGAGAAAGCUUCUCCACCAUCUCCAUGCUAGCCAAGUUGUUGCAGCUCCCUCCGUCUAUUAUGACGCGCACAGAACGUUCCUUCACAACUCCCUUGGUAUGGAACAAAUUGUGCCUCUGAUUUUGCUCAGCUUGUGUGACCUGCACACUCAAAACACGUUGAGCAACUAAACAUUCAUACCUGUCAGCGUCUUCAGGAGCCAUGUAUUGCGUCUCAUGAUCAGAAUCAUCUCCACCAUGUUCCUCACGUGUAAUAAGAGCCAAAGUCUCCUCAUCAUAGUCACUAGUGGACUCAUAUCCACCAUCCGCGAUAGCAAUCAUCACACGCGGAGAUUUGCAUUCUCUCGCAUAAUGACCUCCUCCCUUACAACGACGACAAAUAAUAUCACUUGUGUGCCCUGUUGAUGCCAUGGAAGAAGAAGAACGCUGUGCAGGCCCCGCAGGUGCGCUCUUGGCAGAUAAUGGUGGUUGUGCCUGUUUUCUUGUAUCACGGCUGGAGGUGGCACCGGAUGGAGGUGCUGGUGCAGUUGAAGUAGAAGAUGCACGUGGUGUCCAUGAUGAAGGUCGGCCUGCAGAAAAGUUAGUUCGCCCCAAUGCUUGUCGAUCCUGCACUUCACGUUCAGCUUUACAAGCAAGAUGGAAUAAACGAGUGAUAUUAGUAUACUCCUUAUAGUCUAGAAUGGUCUGAAUCUCUCUAUUUAAUCCACCCAGAAAACGUGCAAGCAUAGCUUCAUUCUCAUCAACAAUACCACAUCUAAUCAUGCCAGUUUGUAAUUCCUGAUAAUAUUCUUCUACAGAAUUUUUCCCUUGUCUUAAACGCUGCAAUUUUUGAAGCAAUUCACGUUGAUAAUAUGGUGGAACCCAACGCGUACGCAUAGCAGUUUUCAAAGCAGCCCAAGUAGUUGGAAUAGGAUAUAAUCUACAAUGUUCAGACCACCAUACACAUGCAAAACUAGUGAAAGCACAAACGGCAGCAGCAACUCGUCUCUCCUCAGGAUAUUGUAAACAUGUAAAUCGUUGUUCAGUUUCUAACUCCCAAGUAAGAUAAAUUCUACCCUUAUCUCCAGCAAGUUUAUAUUUAGCAUUCAUGCGCUCAAUGUUUUCCUUAGUUAACUCAUGCAUUUUUAAAAUCAAUUCAGCACGUUGUUUAGCAUCAAAAUUAACCUUCUCCGAAGAUGGAAGAGGCAACAAAUCAAUAGGUGCACGAGGUAGGAAACCUUACACAACUUCAAAAGGGCACAUCUUAGUAGUAGAAUGCAAUGAACGAUUAUAAGCAAAUUCAAUAUGAGGCAAGCAUUCCUCCCACAUUUUCUUAUUAUUCUUCAAAACAGCCCUAAGCAUAGUAGACAACGUUCUAUUGACUACUUCAGUUUGUCCAUCAGUUUGGGGGUGACAAGUAGUACUAAAAAGCAGUUUAGUCCCCAACUUAGCCCAUAAACAUCUCCAAAAGUGGCUAAGAAAUUUAGUAUCACGAUCUGAAACAAUAGUAUUUGGCACACCAUGCAAGCGAAUAAUUUCACGAAAGAACAAAUCAGCAACAUUAACAACAUCAUCGCUUUUAUGACAUGGUAUAAAGUGUGCCAUUUUCGAGAAUCUAUCCACGACAACAAAUAUGCUAUCCCUCCCCUUCUUUGUUCGAGGUAAACCUAAAACAAAGUCCAUAGAUAUAUCCUCCCAAGGAACACUAGGUACAGGCAAAGGCAUAUAUAAACCAUGAGGAUUGAGGCGUGACUUAGCUUUUUGACAUGUAGUGCAGCGAGCAAUAAAACGCACAACAUCCCGUCUCAUCUUUGGCCAAAAGAAAUGUGUAGCAAGUACGUCCUCCGUCUUCUUCACGCCAAAGUGUCCCAUUAAUCCUCCUCCAUGCGCCUCCUGCAACAACAAAAGACGAACGGAGCUAGCUGGAAUGCAUAGCUUGUUAGCACGAAACACAAAUCCAUCGUUAACAACAAACUUGUUCCACAUUCUUCCUUCUUUACAAUUAUGCAUUACAUCUUUAAAAUCAGCAUCAUGCACAUAUUGAUCUUUGAUGGUCUCCAAACCAAAUAUUUUGAAGUCAAGUUGUGAAAGUAUAGUAUAGCGACGAGACAAAGCAUCAGCAAUAACAUUUUCUUUUCCCUUCUUGUGUUUAAUGACAUAAGGGAAAGUCUCAAUGAAUUCAACCCAUUUAGCAUGUCUACGAUUCAGUUUAGCUUGACUUUUAAUAUGUUUCAAUGAUUCAUGAUCAGAAUGUAUAACAAAUUCUUUGGGCCAUAAAUAAUGUUGCCAUGUUUCUAAAGUCCGAACAAGAGCAUAUAAUUCUUUAUCAUAAGUAGAAUAAUUCAGACUAGGCCCACUCAAUCUUUUAGAAAAGUAUGCAACAGGUUUGCCAUCUUGUAAUAACACACCUCCUAUUCCAAUUCCACUAGCAUCACAUUCAAGCUCAAAAGUCUUAUUAAAAUCAGGAAGUUGGAGUAAAGGAGCAUGUGUCAACUUAUCUUUCAAUACCGUGAAGGCUUCUUCCUGUGCGGUACCCCAAAGAAAAGGCACAUCUUUCUUUGUAAGCUCAUUGAGAGGUGCAUCAAUGGUGCUGAAAUCUCUCACAAAACGCCUAUAGAAUCCAGCGAGGCCAAGAAAACUCCUCACUUGUGUGACCGUUUUGGGCUGUGGCCAACUCUCAAUAGCUUCAAUCUUGGCUUUAUCAACUUCAAUUCCCUGUGGAGUAACAACAUAGCCAAGAAAAGAUACUCGGUCGGUGCAAAAGGUGCACUUCCCAAGGUUACCAAACAAACGUGCAUCACGUAGAGCAAUAAAAACAGCACGUAAAUGUUCCAAAUGUUCCUCCAAAGAUCUGCUAUAAAUCAAUAUGUCAUCAAAGUAAACUACCACAAAUCGUCCAAUGAAAGCACGUAAAACUUCGUUCAUUAAUCUCAUGAAAGUACUAGGUGCAUUAGUUAACCCAAAAGGCAUGACUAACCACUCAUAUAAUCCAAACUUAGUUUUAAAUGCUGUUUUCCAUUCAUCUCCCAAUUUCAUACGAAUUUGAUGGUAGCCACUACGCAAAUCAGCUUUGGAGAAUAUUGUAGAGCCACUCAAUUCAUCAAGCAUAUCAUCUAGCCUAGGAAUAGGAUGACGAUAACGAAUAGUAAUAUUAUUAAUGCCUCUACAAUCAACACACAUACGUGAUGUACCAUCCUUUUUCGGCACUAGAAUAAUAGGAACAGCACAAGGACUAAGGGAUUCGCGUAUAUAACCUUUGUCGAGAAGCUCUUGUACUUGACGCAUAAUCUCCUUCGUCUCCUCUAGAUUGGUACGGUAUGGUGCACGGUUUGGCAGUGAAGCACCGGGAAUUAAGUCAAUCUGAUGCUCAAUCCCUCGAAUAGGCGGUAAUCCCGGUGGCACGUCUUGUGGAAAAACGUCAGCGAACUCCUGCAAAAUGUUAGUGACAGCAGGAGGCAAAGAGGAAGGCACAUCCUCGAAUGAAAAUAAUGCCUCUUUGCACACAAAAGCAUAGCAAACAGAUUUGCUGAAAUCUAGCUCAUCAAUAUCAGAUUUGGUGGCAAAUAAACAUGCACUUUUCAAUUUAAUUUCAGAAGCAACACUAGAUGGUUUAUUAUUAGGCUUCAUUUGUUGCUCAAAUUCUUUUGCCACAAUCUGAUUUUCACUCUUAUUCUUCUCCUGUUUUGCUUUAUUAGCUCUAUUAAUAUCAUCUUUCAAAAUGGAAUCAGGAGUCAUAGGAAGCAAAGUAAUAUUUUUAUCCUUAUGAACAAGAGUAUAGUGAUUGUUUCUACCAUGGUGUACAGAAUUUUUAUCAAAUUGCCAUGGUCUACCAAGUAAUAAGGAACAUGCUUGCAUAGGUACCACAUCACAAUCUACAUAAUCAGCAUAUGUAGAGAUACUGAAAUGCACACGAACAGUACGUGUUACCUUAACCUUGCCGCUGUUGUUGAACCAUUGGAUGUAGUAAGGAUGUGGAUGUGGUCUUGUGGUGAGAGAAAGCUUCUCCACCAUCUCCAUGCUAGCCAAGUUGUUGCAACUACCUCCGUCUAUGAUGACGCGCACAGAACGUUCCUUCACAACUCCCUUGGUAUGGAACAAAUUGUGCCUCUGAUUUUGCUCAGCUUGUGUGACCUGCACACUCAAAACACGUUGAGCAACUAAACAUUCAUACCUGUCAGCGUCUUCAGGAGCCAUGUAUUGCGUCUCAUGAUCAGAAUCAUCUCCACCAUGUUCUUCACGUGUAAUAAGAGCCAAAGUCUCCUCAUCAUAGUCACUAGCGGACUCAUAUCCACCAUCCGCGGUAGCAAUCAUCACACGCGGAGAUUUGCAUUCUCUCGCAUAAUGACCUCCUCCCUUACAACGACGACAAAUAAUAUCACUUGUGUGCCCAGUUGAUGCCAUGGAAGAAGAAGAACGCUGUGCAGGCCCCGCAGGUGCGCUCUUGGCAGAUAAUGGUGGUUGUGCCUGUUUUCUUGUAUCACGGCUGGAGGUGUCACCGGAUGGAGGUGCUGGUGCAGUUGAAGUAGAAGAUGCACGUGGUGUCCAUGAUGAAGGUCGGCCUGUAGAAAAGUUAGUUCGCCCCAAUGCUUGUCGAUCCUGCACUUCACGUUCAGCUUUACAAGCAAGAUGGAAUAAACGAGUGAUAUUAGUAUACUCCUUAUAGUCUAGAAUGGUCUGAAUCUCUCUAUUUAAUCCACCCAGAAAACGUGCAAGCAUAGCUUCAUUCUCCUCAACAAUACCACAUCUAAUCAUGCCAGUUUGUAAUUCCUGAUAAUAUUCUUCUACAGAAUUUUUCCCUUGUCUUAAACGCUGCAAUUUUUGAAGCAAUUCACGUUGAUAAUAUGGUGGAACCCAACGUGUACGCAUAGCAGUUUUCAAAGCAGCCCAAGUAGUUGGAAUAGGAUAUAAUCUACAAUGUUCAGACCACCAUACACAUGCAAAACUAGUGAAAGCACAAACGGCAGCAGCAACUCGUCUCUCCUCAGGAUAUUGUAAACAUGUAAAUCGUUGUUCAGUUUCUAACUCCCAAGUAAGAUAUAUAUCAGGAACAUAUCUACCCUCAAAUGGUGGAAUAUUCAAUUUCAGUUUAGGAAUAUGGACAUCAUCUCGUACCUGAGGUGGUGGUGCAGGCCUACCAUUACGAAUAUAUACCUGAGGUCGACCUGCUGGUGGUGGUACAGGUGGCUGCACGUAGUGUUGAUUUUGAUCAACCUCAUCCGCAUAAUCUUCCACAUAAUCAUCCUCCUCCGCAUCAGCAGCAGGAGCCACAGAAGUAUCAACAGCAGCACCAACAGUUUGGCCAAACGCAAGAGGAACACGGCUUGCUUGGCGGAGGUCUGCUUCGCGACGUGGAGGUAGUCGUUGUUGUUGCUGUUGGAGAGGUGCGUUAGCUGCAGCGGGUGGCGGUGGUGGAAGACGCGCGAGCAAUUCAUUAAACUUGUUAUCGAGCUUUGUUUCGAACGUCUUCUCAAAGCCAGUGAUCUUCUCCAUGGCCUCUUCAAAAUUGUUCAGCACAUCUUGCACCUGUUCAGUCAUCAUUUGCUGAAACUUAUCAUGAAGCUCCUUGUUCGAUAAAUUCUCCCAGUCAAUCUCGUCGGCUUGUGAUCCUGGCAUGGUUAGCAGCAAUAGAAACACACAAGAAUAUGAUCCUACAGACUACGAACAAGUAGUGGUGGUGGGUGUCACAAAUACGUCAAGCAAAUCUCAAAUUCUUACCAGUUCUUACCCAGCAGCAGGCGGUGAUCGGCAACCGUUGUAGUCAAAAACUCUCAAAGCUUGGAAAGUGCGAUUACCAGGGAGAGUCAAACGCACGACGUAGAUGUAUGUGGAGCUGGGAAGGCUUAUAAUAUGGUAGCAAAAAGGGUCAGCAAUAAUCAAUUCAGAGAUGCAAAGUUGAAUAAACGCUCAACGACGGUACUGUGCUGGUCCUAGGCUAGACUGUGCUAGAGACGCGAGCCUAGAACACUAACAAAAUCACGGCGCGGCACGUAAAUAAGGGAAAACACACUCUGGAUUUUUUUUUUCGCUCUUUUUUUUUGCGCUGUUUUUUUUUUGCGAAAAAUCACUAUAAUGGCGAGUGUCUCAAAACUCUUCUUAACUCAAACUGACAGGAUGGGCACGAAAUUUUUUUUGACCAAUUUUUUUUUUGACUGCCCGGACCCAAAAACUGGAAACGGGUCAAAAAAAACUUCCUAUAAUGGCACCUGUCUCAAAACACUCAGAAACACCUAAAAAUAAGAUAGCCAGAAAUUUUUUCGAAAAAUGCGUUUUCGAAAAAUUUUGGGCCUAAACAGAGCGUGGCUACCCGACUCUUUUUUUUUUCCGAAACCUACUCCGGCAAGGAAACACGAAUCGGAAUCUAGAUGGAUCUCGAAAACAAACCUAAUAUGACAAGAACUUGGAUUGGUGGUGGAUAUAUGGUGGUAGAUGGCAGCGAUGGUGGCAUAUGACAGCUGUGGUGGUAUAUGGAUACGGAUUCGAAGCGGUGGCGGAUAAGCGGUGGUGGUAGAUGGCAGGGGCGAUGAUGAUGGUGCGGCGGCGGCGUGACAACUUAUGACCAGAACUCGAAACUCUAAAAGACUAGACUCUAAGACCAGCAACUAGACACGACGAUGCAACCGCAAAUUCAACAAAGCAAAACCCUAAAAAGAUUAUGCAAAGGCUCAGAUUGGUUCGGAUAUGAUGAACUAACCCUAAUUUUUUUUUGUGGCUUUUUCGUGGACUGUAGGUAUGAAGAACAGACUCGAUCUAAACUACGAAAAACUGUAAAAUCUCACCGAGCAACCUGGAAAUCUGAUACCACUUGAUAGAGGCUAAGGUGUCCCGUCUUUCGAUGAGAUGAUGGAUAUCGCUUUGGUGGAAGUCGACUUUGACGAUCCGACUACGAACGUGCGAGGACGUCGCGCCUUAGCAAUCGCUAAACCAACUCCGAGAGGUUAUUGACCACGCCGGAGCACGAUCAACCUGACCACGAGGGUUUGUUUCCUGUGAGCAAACGAAGAACAAGCAAGAAACUAAGAUUGCAAUCUGGAUAUUGCGAAUAUAAGAUGAAAGCUUUAUUGAUCAAGGUGGGGUUCUGUGACGCCUUUGUCUGGUCGUUGAACACAAACGAAGUACGCGAAGUUGCAGCUAUGGCGAACUUUUAAUCUAAACAAAACCCAAAGUCUAAACGAUGCCCUAAGGGCUGUAUAUAUGGAGGAAGAGGGGGGGAAUUUCGUGGCCCUUGGUGGAGGGGUCCGAAAUCAACCCUAUCUCUUGUUUCCCCACACAUACGGACUCUAAAAAUAGCCUAUACUUAUGUAUUUCGAAAUUACAUGGGCCUGGCCCAAUAAUAAGGUGACGCAGCACCUAAAAUAGCCUCGGGACGAAAUUUAUGAAGUGGCAUCUUGUAUAUUUCGUCCAAGGCUUCAUGCACCCAUUAUGGUGGCUUCAAAGUCCUGAAAUCAUCACUUGUAACCCCGUUCUUGUUUCCCUUGCGCAUGCCAUCAUCUCCAUGCUUGUUCUUGCUCCAAUGUUCAUCCUUCUCCAAGCUAGACCCUUCAUUUGUAAGCAAAACAAAUGUAUCCAAUUUAGGCAGCAUCAUAUUCUCAUGAACAUUAGAAUCAUUACCAAGAAACGAAAGUACCUGGUAAUUUAGUUGGCGUGCACGAGCUCUAGUAAUUGGUCCAGUAUGUAUAGCAGUAGGGGCUGUGGGUGUAACAAUUGUAUUGAUGUCCUCAUCAGUGCCACUGUGCUUGGUGGACUGGUAUGUACAACCGCUCCCGCUCCCGCGGUAGCGAGCCGACAACGACGGAGAAAGAGACGCGUGAGAAGCUCACGCCGGCACUAAACUUGCCCUUCUCCUUCCCACUGAAGAAACCCAUGGUUGGCUGGCUGGCUAGGGUUUCUGGUUGCCAGCGAGGGAGCAGGCGUGGCCAGAUGUGGACGGGGCGGUGGAAGUGGAUGGGGCCAGCCCCGCCGCACGCUUGCAUUAAAAAGGACGGGCACACGACAUUUCCACCCAUUGCUAGGUGGGCCCAAGGUAGGUGGGCGCGUCUACUAUGACCGCGUGCGGUGGUUGGGUGGCCGACAUGUGGGGACGCGGCGGACAUGUAGCGGACGCAAACCGGCCCCAAAUUUGGGCCAGAAAUGGAUCGACGCGGACAUCUAGCGGACACGUUUUGGGUUUGAAUCGGCGCGUUGGGUCGGAGUUUUUGUCCGUGAUGACCCAAACAAACACACGCGGAACGAGAUGGGUCGCGCUUAGACUAGUCAUAGUGGGAGUAACUUCGGCAGUAAUAUCGAGUCCAACUCAACAAAAUUGCUUAUGUGGUAAUGAGUUAAUGAGGAGAGAGAUAGUUUCAGUAACUUAGCUAGUUAUUGUAACAUCACAUGUCCCAAUGCAAUAUGAGUCUAUAACCUAAUAAAUGAAUCUUUGCAUGUUACCACACUUAUGU